rnacentral:rRNA from 1 species
GACGAACCGUGCGAACGUUAUUCGGAAUCACUGGGCUUAAAGAGCGCGUAGGCGGAUUGCCGCGUCGGAGUCUGAAAUCCCCCGGCUCAACCGGGGAACUGGAUCCGAAACGGGCAGUCUUGAGGGACGUAGGGGGGGCUGGAACUUCCGGUGGAGCGGUGAAAUGCGUUGAGAUCGGAAGGAACGCCCGUGGCGAAAGCGAGCCCCUGGACGUCUGCUGACGCUGAGGCGCGAAAGCUAGGGGAGCGAAUGGG